AUACUUACCCGGCAGGGGAGAGACCGUGGUCACCAAGGGGGUUCUCCCAGAGUGAAACUUCCUCUUCGCACUCUAGACUUCCUGAUCCCGGUGACUUCCUCACGGUGGGAAACGGUGUUUCUGCUAGAAGAGGGCUGCGCUGACAUAACCGGGUUCAAGACUGACCUCGCCUCACGCCCGCCUCAA
rnacentral:snRNA from 1 species